UACAGAGGGUGCUAGCGUUGUUCGGAAUUAUUGGGCGUAAAGGGCGCGUAGGCGGCCUGGCAAGUGGAAGGUGAAAUCCCUCGGCUUAACCGAGGAACUGCCCUCCAAACUGCUUGGCUUGAGUCCGGGAGAGGUGAGUGGAAUUCCCAGUGUAGCGGUGAAAUGCGUAGAUAUUGGGAGGAACACUAGUGGCGAAGGCGGCUCACUGGACCGGAACUGACGCUGAGGCGCGAAAGCGUGGGGAGCAAACGGG
rnacentral:rRNA from 1 species